rnacentral:rRNA from 1 species
UACGAAGGGGGCUAGCGUUGCUCGGAAUCACUGGGCGUAAAGGGCGCGUAGGCGGAUCUUUAAGUCGGGGGUGAAAGCCUGAGGCUCAACCUCAGAAUUGCCUUCGAUACUGGAGAUCUUGAGACCGGAAGAGGUAAGUGGAACUGCGAGUGUAGAGGUGAAAUUCGUAGAUAUUCGGAAGAACACCAGUGGCGAAGGCGGCUCACUGGUCCGGUACUGACGCUGAGGUGCGAAAGCGUGGGGAGCAAACAGG